AGAGUUUGAUCCUGGCUCAGGAUGAACGCUGGCGGCGUGCCUAAUACAUGCAAGUCGAACGCUGGAGAUCUAGCUUGCUAGAUCGAAGGAGUGGCGAACGGGUGAGUAAUACAUAAGCAACCUACCCACGAAGACUGGGAUAAUCUCUGGAAACGGGGACUAAUACCGGAUAGGUAAUCGGAAGGCAUCUUCUGAUUAUUAAAGGUUAAAAACACUGGUGGAUGGGCUUAUGGCGCAUUAGUUAGUUGGUGAGGUAACGGCCCACCAAGACGAUGAUGCGUAGCCGGCCUGAGAGGGUGAACGGCCACAUUGGGACUGAGACACGGCCCAGACUCCUACGGGAGGCAGCAGUAGGGAAUUUUCGGCAAUGGGGGAAACCCUGACCGAGCAACGCCGCGUGAGUGAUGACGGCCUUCGGGUUGUAAAGCUCUGUUGUAAGGGAAGAACGGUAGAUAGAGAAUAUCUAAGUGACGGUACCUUACCAGAAAGCCACGGCUAACUACGUGCCAGCAGCCGCGGUAAUACGUAGGUGGCGAGCGUUAUCCGGAAUUAUUGGGCGUAAAGGGUGCGUAGGCGGCCUGUUAAGUAAGUGGUUAAAUUGUUGGGCUCAACCCAAUCCAGCCACUUAAACUGGCAGGCUAGAGUAUUGGAGAGGCAAGUGGAAUUCCAUGUGUAGCGGUAAAAUGCGUAGAUAUAUGGAGGAACACCAGUGGCGAAGGCGGCUUGCUAGCCAAAGACUGACGCUCAUGCACGAAAGCGUGGGGAGCAAAUAGGAUUAGAUACCCUAGUAGUCCACGCCGUAA
rnacentral:rRNA from 1 species